AAGCACUGUAGUAACCCAUUUAAAGAAAUAGAAAAAUGAUGUCAUAUCUAGGUUUAAGAAGUGCAAUAUUAAAACAAAAGCCAUGAGUCUUUUAAGUCUAAUGUGUAAAGGCACUCUUGAGUUAUAUCUCACACACACAAUU